UAUAAUUAUACAUUUUCAUGUUUAAUGGUUCAGACAUCACUCUGAAGGAAUUCUCCCUUAAUAGCCAUUUUCCUUUGGAGUUUUCUGUUUUAUUUUGUAGGUAAUUUUGACAUGAUUUAAUCUUCCUUUAAAUCAAAGAUCUGCCAGUCCUAUGGGGGUAGUUACAGCCUAUGGCGACAGGAAAUGGAACACACAUAGAAGCUCAGGUGUUUCUCUAGUGGCAGCUGCCAGCCAAAAAACGUUGAUUUUGUUUUGCUUUCUGGUAGUGUCUUGUGGUCCAUGGCAGAGUUCUUGAGGCAGUUUCAUGAUCCUUUAGGGCAACCCAUAAAAUUAACUGAAAAUUGGACAAACCAAAGAUUAACAGGAGCGGAAAACAGGAAGCACAGAAGGACAAGGCACAUUUUGAAGUAUGAAGUGGUGCUGGAGAUACAGCUCGAUGGUUAAGAGCUCCCAUUCUUCGUGCAUUGGAACUGGGUUCACUGUCCCAGCAUUCACCUAGAGGCUUAUCACAUUUUUGUGACUCUAGUUCCAGGGGAUCUAAUGUCUUCUGACUUCCAAGGGCAAAAUGCAUGCACAGUGUACACCUACAUAUGUGCAGGUACAUGCCAAAUCCAGAAGAGGGCGUCAGAUCCCCUGGAGCUGGAGUUACAGGCAGUUAUGAGGCAACUGGCAACUGAAUGUAGGGCUUCUGCAGGAGAGGAAGGCAGUGUUAAACUGCUGAAGUCCUGGGAGCUGGGGGUGUGGCUCAGUAGGAAUGCUGGCUUCUGUGAAAGAAGCAGUGAGCAAGAUCCCCAGCACUGCACAACAACGGGAAGACUCCCCACAGACCAUGAAGGUUGACAAGUACUGACCAGAGAUUUGCAAGAUACACGGGGAUUGUGUCCAGUUAACAAAGUUGGUAAGAUCAUUAUGCCAUGUUUUUUGAGUUGUUCCCUGGAGAGCAGAGAGAUAAACUGGCUAUGGAUCACAG
rnacentral:lncRNA from 1 species